rnacentral:rRNA from 1 species
GACGAACGCUGGCGGCGUGCUUAACACAUGCAAGUCGAACGGAAAGGCCCUGCUUUUGUGGGGUGCUCGAGUGGCGAACGGGUGAGUAACACGUGAGUAACCUGCCCUUGACUUUGGGAUAACUUCGGGAAACUGGGGCUAAUACCGGAUAGGAGCUCCUGCUGCAUGGUGGGGGUUGGAAAGUUUCGGCGGUUGGGGAUGGACUCGCGGCUUAUUAGCUUGUUGGUGGGGUAGUGGCUUACCAAGGCUUUGACGGGUAGCCGGCCUGAGAGGGUGACCGGCCACAUUGGGACUGAGAUACGGCCCAGACUCCUACGGGAGGCAGCAGUGGGGAAUAUUGCACAAUGGGCGGAAGCCUGAUGCAGCAACGCCGCGUGCGGGAUGACGGCCUUCGGGUUGUAAACCGCUUUCGCCUGUGACGAAGCGUGAGUGACGGUAAUGGGUAAAGAAGCACCGGCUAACUACGUG